rnacentral:miRNA from 1 species
ACCAUAGGCAGCCCAAUGUUAUGGUUGCCUGCCUGCCUGCCUGCGCGCGGGCGAGGCAUUGUAUAGUUGUAACACAACUAUACAAUGCCUCGCCUGCGCGCAGGCAGGCAGGCAACCAUAACACGUUGGG